AUUGAACGCUGGCGGCAUGCCUUACACAUGCAAGUCGAACGGCAGCGGGGGAGAAGCUUGCUUUUCCUGCCGGCGAGUGGCGAACGGGUGAGUAAUACAUCGGAACGUGCCCUGUAGUGGGGGAUAACUAGUCGAAAGAUUAGCUAAUACCGCAUACGACCUGAGGGUGAAAGUGGGGGACCGCAAGGCCUCAUGCUAUAGGAGCGGCGGAGGUCUGAUUAGCUAGUUGGUGGGGUAAAGGCCUACCGAGGCGACGAUCAGUAACUGGUCUGUGAGGACGAUCAGCCAGACUGGGACUGAGACACGGCCCAGACUCCUACGGGAGGCAGCAGUGGGGAAUUUUGGACAAUGGGCGAAAGCCUGAUCCAGCAAUGCCGCGUGUGUGAAGAAGGCCUUCGGGUUGUAAAGCACUUUUGUCCGGAAAGAAAUGGCUCUGGUUAAUACCUGGGGUCGAUGACGGUACCGGAAGAAUAAGGACCGGCUAACUACGUGCCAGCAGCCGCAGUAA
rnacentral:rRNA from 1 species